rnacentral:sRNA from 1 species
CAUAGGGUUUCGCCCCUAUGCUGUUUUAUGUCGCCACUUCGUGGCU